UCCGGACCACAGUUUUCCCUCUUUUUCUUCUCCCUGCCUCUCUCCCCUUCACCUCUCCUCUCCUCCAGAUCCACCCCUCCCCCAUGCCUGUCCCUCCACCCCCCCCCAAAAGAGUAGACCUCCCAGGGACCUCAACUAAACUCAGCAUAACAAGCUACAAUUAGACCAGGCAUAUACCAUCACAUCAAGGCUGAACGAGGUGACCCAGUAGGAGAAGAAGGAUCCCACAAGUAGGGAAGAGUCAAGGACAGGCCCUACUCCCACUGUUAGGAUUCCAACAAGAACACGACGCUACUCAGCCAUAAUUUAUAUUCGGAGGACCUAGGUCAGACUCCUGUCGCUUCCCUGAUCUCUGUGAGUCUCGAUGAAUCCUGGUCAUUUGAUUCUGUGGACCAUAUUCUCCUCGUGUGUCCCUCUGGUUCCUCUGAUCCUUCCUCUCCCCCCUCCGCAGGACUCCCUGAGCAGCUUCUAAUGUUUGUCUGGGGGACUCUGCAUCUGCUCCUAUCAGCUGCUGGCUGAAGUCUCUCUGGUCCCUCUGAGGAAGAUUAUGCUUGGCUGCAGUCCCAGAACACUCUGCAGGCAUGACAAACUGUGUGUAGGGCGAAAAUUUUGUGGCUGGGUUGGUGUCCAAAUGCCUCUGGCUUCAGACGUGGGACAAGGGACUGAGUUCCUGACGUGUUGCCGUGGCUAUGGUUAGCAUGCAGUAAAUAUUUGCUGAAUGCCAGAUAGAACUUUUCUCGAAACCAGAAGGAUGUGGCAAUCCUGCAAUUAGAGAGUGUGUCAAGGCCCUUGAGUAGAAACCAGCUGAUUUGCAUGAACGCUCAUCUGUCUAGAUAAGAACGCCAUGCAUAAGCAUGUGUGAUUUUUCCACGCCUUAAAAACGUGUGUGCGCCCCGUGACGGGAAGCUACAUUUGACAUAAGUGGGGGAAUUCCAAUGGCUCCCAGAAUGCCCUGAGCCUCCCGUUAUCUCAGUCCUUAAGGAUGAAGCCCGUCUCUCAAAGUCUGCAGCAAUCUGGGAACAGCACCAUCAUGAAGCCCUUGAGUUUUUCUUUGUUGAGACCUUCUGGGCCGUAGAAAAUGAUUCCUAACUGUGACCAUCUUCUAUAGAUUUGAGUUUGCUAAGCUUCUAAGGACAGCCUUUCCCCAGUGAGCCUCUGUUAGGGCCACUUGCAUAGACCCUAGCAUCAGCACUAUCAUCCUUUUUACAGUUGGAGCUUGGUCUGAUGAGAUGGUUCAGCCAGUAAAAUUGCUUACCAUCAAACCUGAUGACCUGAGUUCUGUCCUUGGGAGCCACACACUUCUGUAAGUGUUCUCUGAUCUCUACAUCUGCACUGUGGUAUGCCUCCCUCUAAUAAACAAGCAAAUAGAUGUUUAAAAAAUGUUUAGAUCCAACAAAAGCUUUGGGAAAUGCAACUGACUUGGGCAGUGUAGGGCAGUGUCCCUUUGAUUAAUAGGUAGUUAACAUUAGUUUUCCUUGUAUGGACUCUACUCACACUUUAUAAUGUCAAGAGAUGUUAGUUUUUAAAAAGCCUUUAUACUGGUAAAAGAACUGUAAACAAACCAGUGCUUGCUUAACCGAACCUUCAGAGAAAAAAUACAAGCAAAACGACAACAGAGUCUCUCUGUCAAAGGCCUGGCAAUACAACUGUUGGAUAGACUUUUCAGGGACCUGUUUUGCAUUAAAAUACCAAAUAAAACAACAUAAUGGA